rnacentral:rRNA from 1 species
GACGAACGCUGGCGGCGUGCUUAACACAUGCAAGUCGAACGGAAAGGCCCUGCUUUUGUGGGGUGCUCGAGUGGCGAACGGGUGAGUAACACGUGAGUAACCUGCCCUUGACUUUGUGAUAACUUCAGGAAACUGGGGCUAAUACCGGAUAGGAGCUCCUGCUGCAUGGUGGGGGUUGGAAAGUUUCGGCGGUUGGGGAUGGACUCGCGGCUUAUCAGCUUGUUGGUGGGGUAGUGGCUUACCAAGGCUUCGACGGGUAGCCGGCCUGAGAGGGUGAACGGCCACAUUGGGACUGAGAUACGGCCCAGACUCCAACGGGAGGCAGCAGUGGGGAAUAUUGCACAGUGGGCGGGAGCCUGAGGCAGCAACGCCGCGUGCGGGAUGACGGCCUUCGGGUUGUAAAGCGCUUUCGCCUGUGACGAAGCGUGAGUGACGUUAAUAGGUAAAGAAGCACCGGCUAACUACGUG